AUUUACAUACCACGUAGUUAAUAUAAAAC
rnacentral:other from 1 species